rnacentral:rRNA from 1 species
CCUUUAAGUUUCAGUCUUGCGACCGUACUCCCCAGGCGGCAGACUUAACGGCUUCCCUGCGGCACUGGGCUGGCACAAGGCUAGCCCAUCACCGAGUCUGCAUCGUUUACAGCUGGGACUACCCGGGUAUCUAAUCCGGUUUGCUCCCCCAGCUUUCAUCCCUCACCGUCGAGCGCGUUCUGGCAAGCCGCCUUCGCCACUGGUGGUCUUCAAUGGAUCAGUGGAUUUUACCCCUACCCACUAAGUACCGCUUGCCUCUCCCGCCUCCUAGUUCUACAGUAUCCUCCGCGGCCCAUCCGUUGAGCGGCUGGAUUUAACGGAAGACUUGUAAAACCGGAUACGGAUGCUUUAGGCCCAAUAAUCGUCCCGACCACUCG